UACGGAGGGUGCAAACGUUGCUCGGAAUCAUUGGGCGUAAAGCGCACGUAGGCGGCUCGUUAAGUUGGAUGUGAAAGCCCUGGGCUCAACCCAGGAAGUGCAUUCAAAACUGGCGAGCUUGAAUAUGGAAGAGGGUCGCGGAAUUCCCAGUGUAGCGGUGAAAUGCGUAGAUAUUGGGAGGAACACCGGUGGCGAAGGCGGCCCUCUGGACCGAAAACUGACACUGAAGCGCGAAAGCUAGGGGAGCAAACGGG
rnacentral:rRNA from 1 species